GUGGGUUUAGCACAGCGGUAGUUGCGAAAGAUUGCAAUGAGCACCUUUGGGAGCGCAGAACAUAUCUUUAGGUCCCCGGUUCGAUCCCGGGAACUCACU